GAUGAACGCUGGCGGCGUGCCUAAUACAUGCAAGUCGAGCGAACAGACGUGGAGCUUGCUCCUCUGACGUUAGCGGCGGACGGGUGAGUAACACGUGGAUAACCUACCUAUAAGACUGGGAUAACUUCGGGAAACCGGAGCUAAUACCGGAUAAUAUAUUGAACCGCAUGGUUCAAUAGUGAAAGACGGUUUUGCUGUCACUUAUAGAUGGAUCCGCGCCGCAUUAGCUAGUUGGUAAGGUAACGGCUUACCAAGGCAACGAUGCGUAGCCGACCUGAGAGGGUGAUCCGCCACACCGGAACUGAGAAAACGUCCAGAACCCUACGGGAGGCAGCAGGAGGGAAUCUUCCGGAAUGGGCGAAAGCUUGACGGAGCAACGCCGCGUGGGUGAAGAAGGUCUUCGGGUCGUAAAACUCUGUUAUUAGGGAAGAACAAAUGUGUAAGUAACUAUGCACGUCUUGACGGUACCUAAUCAGAAAGCCACGGCUAACUACGUG
rnacentral:rRNA from 1 species